CACAAUUUGUUACCAUAUUUGACCCCCAGAGGGUGAUAUUGUAUAAACUCUUCUAAAAAAAAAAAAAUUCUACCUCACUUCUGUGAGCUUCUUUACCUUACAGCUCCCAGAGGCACACAUUCUGAGUAGGCUACACACCAGGAGCAGUCAUUGUCAAGGAAGCGUCUCUACUAACUAUCUCUAGAACUUAGCCUUUGAACGGGGAUUUCUGGAAACUCAAAUUUUCCUUGUUACAAAGACUCAGCGCAAUCCGGCAGGCUUCUUCCUGCUCCUCAGGGGAAAUCUUCCAGAACACAGCCGUCUGCUUCCUCACCACCUAGCUAUGUGCUCAGUGACCAUCCUGCUGUUUGGAAUGCUCUUCACAGUGAGAGGAACGGGAGCCCAGUCAGUGACUCAGCCUGAUGCCCAGGUGUUGGUCUCUGAAGGAGCCCGUCUGGAGCUGAAGUGCAACUAUUCCUCUAGUGGAACGACUUAUGUCUUCUGGUACCUGCAGUACCCCAACCAAGGACUCCAGCUUCUCCUCAAAUACAUAUCAGGGGACACCCUGGUUAAAGGCAUCAAUGGUUUCGAGGCUGAAUUUAAGAAGAGUGAAACCUCUUUCCACCUGAGGAAAUCCCCAGCCCUUGGUAGUGACGCGGCCGAGUACUUCUGCGCUGUGAGCGACACGGUGCCUGGGUCCACAGGGGGAGCUGAACACAAACUUCCUGAGACACCGCAGUUUUCAGAGACUCAAGGACACAGUCUGACUUGUUUUUAGCAAGGUCUGUCAUUUGAUGGAAGUGAGCAAAUGGAGGAAGAGACCUCUGGGGGGUGCUUGGCUCCUGGCUCCUGAGGAUAAAUAGGAACUUCACCGUGUAUCUUCUUUUACUACUGGGUCAUGUAGACAAGUCCUGGAACAGAGACACUUGUAUGGAUAUUCUCCUGCCAUUUCGGGAUAUUGCAUUCUAGAGGGUCCAGAUUCCACUUUAAUGUGAUCAAUACCGACCUUCUAAUCUUUCACUUUCUGAACUCACCUCCAACAUGCUCCCCACACCAUCUUUUGCUUUUUUUACUUUCUAACAGCUCCAUUCUUUCAGUCUCUGGUCAUAACUCAAGAGUUAUUUUUGAUUCUUAUUUUUUCUCUCACUGUUGACAUCUAAUCCACCAAAAACUCCAGGUGGCCCUAUCUUUAAAAUUGAUCCAUAAUCUGACCACUCCUACCAUCUUCACUAUACCUCCCUGGUCAAGCCCCCCUCAUCUCUCAGAUGAAUUACUCUGAGAGUCUUCUAAGGGUCCCUUGGCUUGUCCUUCUACACUUCCUCC